rnacentral:lncRNA from 1 species
AAUAUGUUUACUGUAUUAAAUCAUAAAAUGACAAUAAUAUGUCAUCAGAUAUUAAGCAUGCUAAGUUGAAAUACUUUCUUUUCUGACAACAAUGCUAAAGCCAGUAUUUUCUCUUUUGAAUUUUCCAUUCCGGUCCGGCACUAUUUGAUGUUCUUUUUUCAUUCUUCUCAGGAGCAUUUCUUUGAUCCAGCAUCACGCUCUGGGUUUUUGGAGAUGAGACUUCGCAAUAUCCGCCGGAAGUUAGAGGAAGGUCAGUGCCGUUACAGUAGACACAAGAGGGGCCGAGAUGUUAAUGAGAUGUCAAGUUCUGUGCAGGAUGAAGGGGACAGCAGUGACGUCAGAGAGUUCAUCAACCUGAUGAAAAGGCUGAGGCCUUCUGCAGAAAACAUUUCCUCAACCAAAUCAGCGAUGCAGAAAACCUUCACCUGGCGCAGAUCGUGGAUAUCGAAACAUUCACCCACUAUGGAGGAAAUCUUGCAAGAGUAUCCACGCUUCUUCGAUAUACCAACUGCUUGAUACAGAGUUUGGUAAAUUGCAUGAAGGAAAGGGGUACCUGUUCCUAAGGCGGUGGGAGGCCAGCAUCAUGCCAAAGCUGAAAGCUGUUGCUGCAAGCGAGAAGGGUGAUGUUGCAUCUCUUGUUGAAGGGAUGGAAGACCAGAGUGAUGAUGAGAAUUGCUACAUGAUGUUGGUCGUCCUUACUCAUCUCCUUCCACCAAUUGAAGCAAGCCGCUGUAGCGUCAAGUCUGCGAUUAAGCGACUUGUUGAUUUUGUACCGGCAGGAAGCACCAUUGCCUCCCUCUACAAUGCAUCCCAGGAUCCAGCACAGAGCACACAGCCACAACUAGUUUGCAUUGGUCAUCUAAGGGAAGGCUCACAGCAGUACGUCAUUCUGGGCAAGUCAGACAAGAUUGCUAUCCCCUUGGAUGAAAGCCUGGCAUGUGCUGUGGACAAGCUCUUCAAGCGCUACUGGGUAUGCAACUUGGCCUACCCAGCCCCGCUCAGCUCUGUGUUCUCGUACUUCGAGUACAUUUACGACUUACCCAUGUCAACAAACAGGAGAGCAAAGGUAAUGGAACUCAUUUCAAAAGUCAGGUCUAUUAAUUAGAUCCCACCAAAAUGUACAUUUGUCCAAGAUGUCAGUCAAGAUUCACACAGAUAAAGAAACUGACGUGGCAUCUUCGUGAAAUACAUGUAUUGUCAGAGGGAUUGAAGUUCACACUUACUUGCGGCUAAGAUGGUUGUCCAAGGACAUACCACAGCAUUAAUUAAUUUGCGAAACACCUUUCUAGAGAGCACCAAAUAACAGGUACCACUGUUGUUGAGCCUUCUCUUCAGACCAUCCCAACAUUUACAGAGUCCACAGGGGCCAUCGACACAACUCUAGAGGAAAACAUAGCUGAGCCUUCUGAGGGUUUUAAACCUCUUUCUUCAAGUGACAGUG